GACGAACGCUGGCGGCGUGCUUAACACAUGCAAGUCGAACGGAAAGGCCCUGCUUUUGUGGGGUGCUCGAGUGGCGAACGGGUGAGUAACACGUGAGUAACCUGCCCUUGACUUUGGGAUAACUUCAGGAAACUGGGGCUAAUACCGGAUAGGAGCUCCUGCUGCAUGGUGGGGGUUGGAACGUUUCGGCGGUUGGGGAUGGACUCGCGGCUUAUCAGCUUGUUGGUGGGGUAGUGGCUUACCAAGGCUUUGACGGGUAGCCGGCCUGAGAGGGUGACCGGCCAAAUUGGGACUGAGAUACGGCCCAGACUCCUACGGGAGGCAGCAGUGGGGAAUAUUGCACAAUGGGCGGAAGCCUGAUGCAGCAACGCCGCGUGCGGGAUGACGGCCUUCGGGUUGUAAACCGCUUUCGCCUGUGACGAAGCGUGAGUGACGGUAAUGGGUAAAGAAGCACCGGCUAACUACGUG
rnacentral:rRNA from 1 species